GCCGGCAUAGCUCAGGGGUAGAGCAACUCUUUCGUAAAGAGUAGGUCGUGGGUUCGACUCCCUCUGCCGGCU
rnacentral:tRNA from 1 species